rnacentral:rRNA from 1 species
AUUGAACGCUGGCGGCAGGCUUAACACAUGCAAGUCGAGCGAGCGGCGGACGGAUGAGUAAUGUCUGGGAAACUGCCUGAUGGAGGGGGAUAACUACUGGAAACGGUAGCUAAUACCGCAUACCAUCAGAUGUGCCCAGAUGGGAUUAGCUAGUAGGUGGGGUAAUGGCUCACCUAGGCGACGAUCCCUAGCUGGUCUGAGAGGAUGACCAGCAACACUGGAAAUGAGACACGGUCCAGACGCCUACGGUAGGAAGCAGUGGGGAAUAUUGCACAAUGGGCGCAAGCCUGAUGCAGCCAUGCCGCGUGUGUGAAGAAGGCCUUCGGGUUCUAAAGUACUUUCAGCGAGGAGGCGUUAAUCGCAGAAGAAGCACUGGCUAACUCCGUGCCAGCAGCCGCGGUAAUAC